UGCUCUUGAAAGUUUCAACUUAUUUUUCUGUACAUUACUUUCUGUAGAUCAACUAUUCGAGCAUGGAAACUGCGGUGUUUUCAGGACCCCAAGUUCUUGCUAUAGAGAUGAUGUAUUAAGGGAUGGCAACGGCCAAAACUCAUACACCACAGAUCCCGCCACAUCUAAAACUGGUGGCACUUCACCUUGCACUAAACCUCAUCAAGAAGCUUGCAGGGAUGACCCUGCACGUACUACUACUUGCUCAGAUCAUAUACCCCCCUCUUCUAGUUUGCCUGACAGCAACCAUGAUAUGAAUAGAAUCAACAAUCUCAUUGAUGCCAUCUAUUGUGAAGAGCAAUCAAAUCAUAUGCAUA